rnacentral:ncRNA from 2 species
CGUUCACCCUUCGGGGCGCAUGAAAUGGGAGUAGGGAACGGGAUUCUCAU